UUGAACGCUGGCGGCAGGCCUAACACAUGUAAGUCGAACGGUAACAGGAAGAAGCUUGCUUCUUUGCUGACGAGUGGCGGACGGGUGAGUAAUGUCUGGGAAACUGCCUGAUGGAGGGGGAUAACUACUGGAAACGGUAGCUAAUACCGCAUAACGUCGCAAGACCAAAGAGGGGGACCUUCGGGCCUCUUGCCAUCGGAUGUGCCCAGAUGGGAUUAGCUAGUAGGUGGGGUAACGGCUCACCUAGGCGACGAUCCCUAGCUGGUCUGAGAGGAUGACCAGCCACACUGGAACUGAGACACGGUCCAGACUCCUACGGGAGGCAGCAGUGGGGAAUAUUGCACAAUGGGCGCAAGCCUGAUGCAGCCAUGCCGCGUGUAUGAAGAAGGCCUUCGGGUUGUAAAGUACUUUCAGCGGGGAGGAAGGGAGUAAAGUUAAUACCUUUACUCAUUGACGUUACCCGCAGAAGAAGCACCGGCUAACUCCGUG
rnacentral:rRNA from 1 species